GUUUUACAUGUUUUCAUCUCUCUCUGUGUGUUGACUCUGAGUAGCCUUGGCUGCUGUUUAUACCUGUAUAUAAGAGGUGCUUCUUCUCUGUCAGCACCUCUACACAUCAAGACUGACGCUACAGUCUGACACUGAGGACAAACAGGAGAAGAUCAUUUUACAGCAGGUUCUCAGCAUCUUUACGUUCGACCUCGUCUCCACCAUGAAGAUCCUGACUCUGUUUUUCUGUGUGUGCACCAUGUUGGCUCUGAACAGAGCUGAUGAUGAGAAGACCAAUACCACUCUCAUGUCUGUGUCCCUAUUAUAAAGCCACAUCCAGCAGCUGGUUACUCUGACUUAGCACCGAGACUGGAAACAGGCAGACACAGUCUAAAAGAAUCCACCUUCC